rnacentral:lncRNA from 1 species
ACCUAGGUGCACCAACAACUAUCUCCUGGCAUGCCUGUGCCUGCACGUCUUCAUUUAUCAUCAGAGAACAGAGGAUGCACAGUCCUUUUAGCAACCUGGACAGACCAGAGUGAAAGGGGCUUCGGAUCAGGAGAAAGGGGUGUGUCCUUCUAUUUACAUCUGCCUGGCAAAAAACUGUAUGCGAGCCUGGAAGAAGGACAGAGCCCAACAGAUAUCAUGGAUUUUGACUCUCACUGCUUCCUUUGGCUGCUAGUUUUUGCAGAUGCCAACGUCUUCUGGCUGAUUCAGCCAUUCAGUACUGAUCCUUAAGCACCUACAGUGUGCAGUGCUUUUUAUUCUCCACCAAGGCAUUCCUGCUGCAAACACAAAGAACAUUUUCUCUGAGACUCUUGGGUAAGGAUGACAUAAAGAUCAGAAGAGACAGGUGGCUUGCUCUUAUCACAAUUCAGUUCCAGGAGGGCCCACUCUUUGACUAGUUUACUUGUAAUGGUUAAUUUGUAGGCAAAAAAUGAUGACAUCUCAGAAGAUGGAGUUCCAAGCCCUACAUAACAAACAGGAUAAAGAACAAAGCAAAACCAGUUCAUAAAAAGACCAGUCCAGAAAAAUCAAGAUCCUGUCCCCUGUUCCCUCAGCAAUGUGCUGUGGUAGGCUGAUUUUCUUUAGACUCUGGAAACAUUAAUUCAAUAAAUUACUUCAAUUCAUUAAUGUAAUUAUAAAUUCAUGGCUGUAAUUUUAAAGUCAUCUUGUUUCCUACCCUCUGCUCCAGUGACAUCUGAGUGCUAUUGAUUGUAAAUGUCAAGUUAGACUUCCAGGCAUAUUUCCCUUGUUUGAGAAUCAAUACAAAACUAGAUCAUCUUUGACAGUACAUUGAAAGUUAUUCCUUACUCAUGUGACAUUUUGACUGCCCCCCACCAGUAUUUCAGUUAGAUAUUUACUUCCUGGGGGUAUACAGAGAAAUAUGGUCUUACUUUGUAAAACUCAAAUUCCAAACUAAAAAAAAAGAGACGUGAGGAAUUUGAAUCAUAUGCAUAUUAACUUACUUUUGAAUAAACUCAGCAUAAGAAAAUCCAAAUUCAUAAAAGCUGAUUAAUUUCCC